GGGCCGUUCACUCAGGAGGUAGCGUAUCUGCCUUUUAAGCAGAGAGUCGUGGGUUCGAGUCCCGCACGGCCCA
rnacentral:tRNA from 1 species